GCCACUUCAUUGGAGCCAAUGUGCUAAAAAUCCCAAACAAGCCAAACCCAGCUCCUGUCCGGGCAGCUGUGACUGCUGGCCCACCUAGUUGCUUCUUGGCCACUCUGAUUCUAUAAGUAUCAGAUCACAGGAGUGACAGCUUGGAUACUGGAAAGGAACCUGCUCAGAAAGGCAGUUCCGAUUACACCACCAAGAAGCAUGAAGAAAAACGGGGCAGUCAUGGAAGUAACAAGAGAAUGUUAAUCACAGAAAAACAAAGAGAAAGUGUAAAAUUUAUGGAAGAUCUUCAGGAAGUUCAAGGAUUGAAGCCCAAGUCAUGUGUCUUACCCACUGAAUGUGUGGUUUGCCUGCCUCGAGAGCAGGAAGCGUCACGGGAAGGAGGCUGCCAUUUAUAUUCUGAAGGUGAACCCACUCUCAGAAGGAGGACCUCCAAGGAUGCUUUAUUUUCUACUUCAAGGCA